rnacentral:rRNA from 1 species
GUCGUAACAAGGUCUCCGUUGGUGAACCAGCGGAGGGAUCAUUACCGAGUUAUCCAACUCCCAACCCCUGUGAAUUAUACCUUUAAUUGUUGCUUCGGCGGGACUUCGCGCCCGCCGGGGACCCAAACCUUCUGAAUUUUUUAAUAAGUAUCUUCUGAGUGGUUAAAAAAAUGAAUCAAAACUUUCAACAACGGAUCUCUUGGUUCUGGCAUCGAUGAAGAACGCAGCGAAAUGCGAUAAGUAAUGUGAAUUGCAGAAUUCAGUGAAUCAUCGAAUCUUUGAACGCACAUUGCGCCCGUCAGUAUUCUGGCGGGCAUGCCUGUUCGAGCGUCAUUACGCCCCUCAAGUCCCCUGUGGACUUGGUGUUGGGGAUCGGCGAGGCUGGUUUUCCAGCACAGCCGUCCCUUAAAUUAAUUGGCGGUCUCGCCGUGGCCCUCCUCUGCGCAGUAGUAAAACACUCGCAACAGGAGCCCGGCGCGGUCCACUGCCGUAAAACCCCCCAACUUUUUAUAGUGACCUCGAAUCAGGUAGGACUACCCGCUGAACUUAAGCAUAUCA